GGUCCUGGAAAUAAUUUGUAAUACAAUAGUAUGCAGGUAAUAGUCCAGCGGAUAUCAGAAUAAUUGAUCACUUUAUGGUAAAAGCAUGAAACUUGGCAUAGUGAAAGAUUAAGGGGUAUAGACAAAAUUCAGAUAUGGAGCCACGAAAAAAAAAUCCAAUAUGGCCGCCAAAUUCAAGAUACGUAUUGCAAUAGUCUAGACCAAAUUGCAUACAAAAAGAACGAGCUUUUAAUAUUAGAUAUAGUAUAGAUCAUAAGCUGUAUGUAGCAACCCAAAGGACACAAAAUCACAGAUCAUUACCAGUGAAUUAUCCUUCAUGAUUAUAAUUUAUAGCAAAGGUGAUGAAGUUUUACCCAAAAAUUUAAGUGAACGUUUAUUAGAUCUUAAUCUGGACAUUGUUACAACUUUAUUUUAUUUUUCCAUCAAAUCUUGCUUUGAUCAUGCUGAUAAUUUAUACAACGUUUAAUUAGGUUCCCCGAGAUGUUAAGUCUGUAUUUUGCUGUCGAAUGUUUAACCCGAAUUCCCCUUGGAUCGUAAAAGAAUAUUUACACCACAUGCAUCAUAUUAACUAUAUGUUAGACCACAUGAUUUAAUUAACUUUAAGCUUGUUUUAAAUUACUGCUCACAAUCAGUAAUAUUGUUUCUUUUACUUGUAAUCAUUAAAGUGCUGUUAGUUCUUGUUCUUGUUUUUUUUUUUUAUAUAUAUAUAUGCCGUCAUAAAAACAGUUAUGUGCUUUUUCGUUAAUAAAUGUUUUGUAUG